rnacentral:tRNA from 1 species
UCCCUACUGACUUAGUUGGUUAAGAAUCUGCCUGCAAUGCAGGAGACCCCAGUUCAAUCUCUGGGUUGGGAA